rnacentral:lncRNA from 1 species
UUUUCUCAGCAAAAAUAGAUUUUAUUAAUAAAAUGCCACUGAAUCAGUGGCAAAAGAGAGACCAAACACCAGGGCAAAAUCCCACUCCAAAACAAAAUACAACACCAGAAGUAAAAGAAAAACAAAAACACAAAAUAAAACUAAGACAAAAUCUCGAAACAAGAUACAAGAAAAAUGCCUCGCCAAAACACAACUAGCAAACAAAGACAACAGAUAAAGCCGAAAUUCUACCACCGGGCUCAGAAUAGAACCAGUAAAUACAUUCCAUCUUUCGCCAGCGCAUCUGCAAUCCCUCCUUAUUAAUGUAUUAGUUUUGCUUUAAACGCCUCCCUAAAACACAAAACCAGCAAACAAAGACAACAAAUAAAAUUGAAAUUUCACCUCCUGGCUCAAAAUAGAAGGAAAAUACAUUUCCUCUUUCGCCAGCGCAUCCACAAUUCCAUCAAUAUCCUUUGUGAGAUAGCAAAAUUAAAGCAUUCUGAAUGACCUUGAACCCAAUCCACAACAAUUGACAUCAACAAUAUGAUCAGAGACACCGCAGACCCCAAACACAGCAGCCAUUCCAAAGAUACCAAAAUUAAACGGCAAGCCUAAACAACUCCGAUUGGUUAGAGAGAAACAAGAUUUGAUCUCAAAGGCAAGUUUCGGGAUCUAAGCUUCUUGCUAUAGAGAGAGAAGAGGCAAAGGGCAGAGUGAAAGUGUUUGGUAUCCUUGGCAGCCUUGAGGGUAACAAACGUGGAUAUUGAUGUGCUAGAUAAAAUAGCCUUGGGAAUUUGUAUCCUUUCUGAAGGUGGG